CAGUCUGUGGUGAUGGCUUUUCACUCAAGCCCCUUUUACGCAGCACUUCUCUUAUGGAAAUAUUUCGCCUUUAUUCCGGAAUGACGUCUGUGUAAACGAAAUGGUGGGAUCAUUUGGUCCCACCUCUAUCACAGCUCUGUAACGCCUCUGGAGGUAGUAACACAGCUGUGGUAAAGGUGGAAUCAGGAUUCUGGAACACCUCUUGUUCAACAGCCAAGGUGUCGUUUUGAUGACGUAUUGCAUGUGCAAACCCCCGC